CGUUUAUUACCCGCGUCCUUCGUUUCAAUCAAUUUCCCAAACAUUAACCUCAAACCUUCAGAGACUCAAAGUUCGGAGUGAAGCUGCUGCUGCUUCUUCUUCUCCAACGCUUGAGAGUAGAGACCAGAGAGGAAGUCAUCGUCACAGAGAGAGGCAGAGAGCAGAUCAGUAGAGCUUCUUUUUCUCCGACGAUUGAGAAAACCCGCCAUCCUCCGUCGGAGAGCAGAGCUUCUUCUUCUUCUCCUCCUCCGCCGAGCCCGCCGCCACGCCCGCCGCCGCGCCAUCCUGUUCAUGGAAGAAUCAUCUCUUGCAGUCUGAGAUUAAUCAAUAAUUUUGUAGAAGAAAAGAAGAUACCCGAGCUAUUGAAGACAUUUCCAAAUGCAUCGAAGUUUCUCAAGACACUUGUGGCUGGUUUUGAGGUAUGCAAUUCUCAAUUUGGAAGUUAUUCAAGCAGCAAUCUCUUUGGCUGGUUUUGAGGUCUUCUUGUUUCUUUGGAUUUGGCCAGUUUUGAGUGAGGAAAUUUAAGCCACCACUUAUGAAGUUAUUGGAGUCUGGAAAUAUAGACCUUUGUUUUGCCAAUCAGGAUGAAGCAACGAAACUUCAAUUGUAAUUUUUUCUGCUGGCUUCUUUCCCAAUCUCAUUCUCUUUUGCUUUGGUUGGAAAAUGUGUAGUUGACUCUACUGUGAACUGUUUGCUGUUGUGCAUUGAUCACUUGGAGAACAUGACUAACUAUACAAUGAUGGUAGUUUGGUUCACACUGCAGAAAUUUGUUCUCAAGCCAUUGCCUCCCAAUAUAGUGCAUAUCAGGAUCUGAUUCAUGAAGCUUUCUAAAGAAAGCUAGUGUUCUCAUUGCUCUUGCAAUGGCUGCUGGCACUGGAGGGGUUGUGGCUGGAGAGCUUGAACUGAAUCACGAAUGCAGUUUGAUGCACUGGUCGCCAGAGGAUUUCGAAUCUAAAUUGCAGGUUGCAUUCUUUUCUAUUACAGGUACAUAAAGUUUCGGCUGAGGAAGGGUAAUACUGGUCUUAUUUCAAGGUAAGGGUUUAUCUUCAGGUUCAAUGAGUUCGUCCACUAAUGGGAAAACCUAAGAGUCAAAUCCAGUUGAGGGUGAAGUACAAUUGGAAUUUGGAAGGACCAAAUUGCCGAAGUUUUACAUUCUUUAUCACCAUCUUUCUCUUGCUGAUUGUAUCCUUCUUGGUUUGUGUUUAUAUUAAGGCUCUGGAAGUCAUAUAACAGCAUUAAAGCAAGAUGAGUGCCAUCUCAAAUUUUGCAUUUGGCUUUCCUAUUGAAGAGGGUUAUACCUGCUAAUGAGAUUGUCAUCUAUUGAUGUCAUAAUAAAAGAUUAAAAGUACAAGCAUAUGUAUGAAAUGCUUAAAAAACACACAUUAUUUGAUUGCAUUUGGAAG